GAUCAUGGCUCAGGAGGAACGCUGGCGGCGUGCCUAACACAUGCAAGUCGAGCGAGAAAUAGUCAGACGGAGAUUUCGGUUGAAGGAUGGCUAUGGAAAGCGGCGGACGGGUGAGUAACGCGUAGGCAACCUGCCUCAUGCAGAGGGAUAGCCUCGGGAAACCGGGAUUAAAACCUCAUAAGGCCAAGGGGACACAUGUUUUCGUGGUCAAAGAUUUAUCGGCAUGAGAUGGGCCUGCGUCUGAUUAGCUGGUUGGUGAGGUAACGGCUCACCAAGGCGACGAUCAGUAGCCGACCUGAGAGGGUAAACGGCCACAUUGGAACUGAGACACGGUCCAAACUCCUACGGGAGGCAGCAGUGGGGAAUAUUGCACAAUGGGCGAAAGCCUGAUGCAGCAACGCCGCGUGAGCGAAGAAGGCCUUUGGGUCGUAAAGCUCUGUCGAUAGGGAAGAAAAAGAAGCCCNG
rnacentral:rRNA from 1 species